GUCUAUGGCCGUACCACCCUGGACACGCCUGAUCACAUCUGAUCUUGGAAGCUAAGCAGGGUUGGGCCUGGUUAGUACUGGGAAUACCGGGUGCUGUAGGCU
rnacentral:rRNA from 1 species